GCAAACUUGGUCAUUUAGAGGAAGUAAAAGUCGUAACAAGGUUUCCGUAGGUGAACCUGCGGAAGGAUCAUUGCCGAACGGACGCGCGCCGUCUCCGCCCGCCUCGCUUCCGCGAGUGGCGGCCGGCCGCGUCUUAUCGCACACCCAUGUGAACUCGUGAUCGUGACCCUGGACGGCGGCGACUCGCCGCCGAUCCGGCUCCCUUCCACACAACCAACCACUGUAUCCCACUUGUCUGAGACAAAACACAAGGCAGAGGCACGCCUCAAAAACGCGCUCUCUCGCCGCAAGACACCAAACUAUCACAACUUUUAACAACGGAUAUCUUGGCUCGCGCAUCGAUGAAGAACGCAGC
rnacentral:misc_RNA from 1 species